CUCUGGAUAGCUCAGUGGUCUAGUGCAGUUGCCCGGAAAGCGAAAGACUCGGGUUCGAUUUCCGAUUCAGCCA
rnacentral:tRNA from 1 species